rnacentral:lncRNA from 1 species
ACAUUUACACUGCCCCCUGCAUCUUUUCUUGCUACGAAUGUGGCAGAGUUUAUUUCUUGUCUUUACCCAGAACCGUCAACUCGUCCAUUAUGAAUAGGUUAUUUUGCCAUUCUUUAUUAACAUACUGAAGAAAGAAUCCCCAUUUGCAGGUGACAUGAUGCAACAUCUUCCCGAGGCAGUGGACCAGAAGGUAUGACACUGUAGACACUGGGAAGAAUACUUUCCUACCAUCACCAAGUGGCAUCAUCAACAUAACCAGCCAACUGAAGUUAACCAGAGAUGGACACAAACUUCACCUGCUGCUGUAUGGUUCUUUCUCCAUCACUGCCUUAAGUGGACCUGAAUUGAGCUGGACCUGAUGUGAACUAGACUAAAGUGAGCUGGACCUCAGGUGAACUGGAACUAAAGUUAACUAAACCUGAUGUUACUGCACCUGCAAGUAAAGUAGACCUAAAGGACUAUCUGGUUAGGUUUGUCAGAGCCAACCAUAUAGAGGGUCAUCUGACACCACCAUAGUUUUAUCUAUCAACUGCAGCUGACCCCAACAUGAAGGGCAUUUCAUCUAUCAACUGCAUCUGAACCCCUUUCCCCUACCCCUUUAGAGCGGGGGUCAGAAGUCUGUUCUGGGAAGUACCUUACUCUCGGAGCAUUAUAACUCUGCGUUUAUGGCUCGGACAUUUCUGUAUCUGGGAUAAGGAGCUUCCUGGAGGAGGCGACUGGCCCUAGGAGCAGCAAUUGCUGUAUCUAGAUGUCAGCGUUAGGCUGCUUAGGUUCCCUUUUUUUUUAAGGAUCUUCAGGCGUGCCUCUUCAAGGAUAAACUGAAUCCUAGGACAAGGAGAGCCGGUCCUGAAGCAGAUUGGUACCAUUUUUUUUAUCCUUUUGAGCUGGGGUCAGGAGGCUUCUUCCAAGAGGUAAAUGGCUUU